rnacentral:rRNA from 1 species
UACGUCGGGACCGAGCGUUGUCCGGAAUCAUUGGGCGUAAAGAGCGUGUAGGCGGCCAACUAAGUCCUGCGUGAAAUCUCGGGGCUCAACCCCGAGCGGUCGUGGGAAACUGGUUGGCUAGAGUGCGGGAGAGGAGAGUGGAAUUCCUGGUGUAGCGGUGAAAUGCGCAGAUAUCAGGAAGAACACCCGUGGCGAAGGCGGCUCUCUGGAACGCAACUGACGCUGAGACGCGAAAGCGUGGGGAGCAAACAGG